GAACGCUGAAGCCUCUGGUGCUUGCACGGGGUGGAUGAGUGGCGAACGGGUGAGUUACACGUGAGUNACCUGCCCCCGACUUCGGGAUAAGCCCGGGAAACUGGGUCUAAUACCGGAUAUGACCAUCGCUGCAAUCGUUUGGUGGUGGAAAGUUUUUUCGGUUGGGGAUGGGCUCGCGGCCUAUCAGUUUGUUGGUGAGGUAAUGGCUCACCAAGACGACGACGGGUAGCCGGCCUGAGAGGGCGACCGGCCACACUGGGACUGAGACACGGCCCAGACUCCUACGGGAGGCAGCAGUGGGGAAUAUUGCACAAUGGGGGAAACCCUGAUGCAGCGACGCAGCGUGCGGGAUGACGGCCUUCGGGUUGUAAACCGCUUUCAGCAGGGAAGAAGCCCUUCGGGGUGACGGUACCUGCAGAAGAAGUACCGGCUAACUACGUGCCAGCAGCCGCGGUAAUACGUAGGGUACAAGCGUUGUCCGGAAUUAUUGGGCGUAAAGAGCUCGUAGGUGGUUGGUCACGUCUGCUGUGGAAACGCAACGCUUAACGUUGCGCGUGCAGUGGGUACGGGCUGACUAGAGUGCAGUAGGGGAGUCUGGAAUUCCUGGUGUAGCGGUGAAAUGCGCAGAUAUCAGGAGGAA
rnacentral:rRNA from 1 species